rnacentral:lncRNA from 1 species
GCAGAUUCAAGAGGAAACCGUUAACUUUCUGACCUCCUGUACUCACUCGAAAGAGAGUGUGUGUGUGUGUGCCUGUUUAUUUUCUUAGUGUCUCUUGCUUAUGUUUCUCAGUUUGGUUUCAUAAGUAAAAUGUUCCAUUCAUCUAUUUACUUUCCAGACCUAGUCCCUAGAAUUUUAAGUAGGAGUGUUUCCCAAAUUAUGUUUUACUUUAACCCACACAGAUAUAUACACAUUUCUAGAUAUAUAUUCUCUAGACUCAAUAGUAAAAGGAGAGAAGCUACCCCCAAAAUUUGUCCUCUGAUCUAGAGCAUGCACACAUAUAUGUGCAUACAUGCACACACAUAGUAGUGGGAGUACUACUAUGUGGCAGCAGUAAUUAUGAAUAAUAAACAUUGUAAAGCAGUGUCUUUUGCAGGGCAUAAUGGCAAAAUAUCUGUAAUUUCAGCACUCAUGAGACUGACAAGAUGGCAGAGUCCAUAAGUUCAAGGCCUGUCUGGGUUCCAUGGGAAUUUGAGGGCAGCUAGGGUUACACAGCAAGAGCCUGUCUCAAAAUAAAACAAAACAAAACAAAACAAAACAAAACAAAACAAAAUAAAAUUUUUUGGCUGUACAUAGGA